AUCCGUUGUGUGUUCCUGCGUCCGUUGCAGGCCCCUCUGCCGGUGCUCGUCGGCUGGGCGCGAGGCGGAGCUGAGGAGAGUUGGCGCGUGCCGGCAACGUGCCGGGGCUUGAGGCGGCGACGGGGAGAUGGAGCCCGACAGCGCGCAGACACCAAAUCAGAUGCAAACAGAAUCUUUAUAUUCAUGUCCCAACACUGCGUCUCCAGUGCCAUUAAAUAGUCUGACCAGUACUCCAAGGUUUGGAACAGUUACUCCAAAUCGCGUCUUUGUAGGAGGAAUUGAUUUUAAGACUAAUGAAAAUGAUCUGAAGAAGUUUUUUGCUCAGUAUGGCAGUGUGAAAGAAGUGAAGAUAGUAAAUGACAGAGCUGGAGUAUCAAAGGGGUAUGGCUUCAUUACUUUUGAAACUCAAGAAGAUGCACAGAAGAUUUUACAAGAGGCUAAAAAACUUAAUUAUAGGGAUAAGAAAUUGAAUAUUGGUCCAGCAAUCAGAAAACAACAAAUACGGAAUCCUCGUUCUACUGUAAUACCAGAAACUGCUACAAUGUACUUAACUACAUCAAGUGGAUAUCCCUACAUAUACCAUAAUGGAGUGGCUUAUUUUCAUACAUCUGAAGUUGCUUCUGUUCAGCAGCCAUGGCCAUCGCGCUCUGUUUCCAGUUCACCUGUGAUGGUGGCUCAACCCGUUUAUCAGUCUCCUACAUACCAGUAUCAGGCACCAGCCCCCUGUGUUCCAAGUCAGUGGCAGUGGCCUGUUCCACAGUCUGCUGUCUCUUCACCUUCAUUCUUGUAUGUGCAACCAUCUGAAGUCAUUUAUCAGCCGAUAGGGAUUACCCAGGAAAGUGGAUGUGUACCUCCACCUCUCCUUGUAGAAGCUGCAGCUCCAGAGGUGUAUUCUGAUCACGGAGUUCAAGCGUCACAUCACCAGCCUAUUGUUCAGAAUGCUAUAGCCAUGCCUGCGCCUACACUAUGGAGCAUUCAGUAUUAAGCCAUUUGGGCAGCUCUCGUCUGCCUGCACUGAUUUUCUUGUCCUGGCCUUCCUAUGUGGCUGAGAUCCAUCAUCACCAUAGCAGCUCGCAGCUGCCUGCUGUGGAACUUGCGGAACUGAAGCUGCAUUCUGUGAGAAGAAAUUUUUCACAUCAUUCAUCUGAGUCUGAAACCUCAAUGCACAUGAAGUCCCCAUUUCAUCCUAGACACGAUUACAGAAUGGAAGAUAAAAUUCUCAUACCACCUUCUACAGACUGUAAACCAAAUUUUAUUUUCUUUUAGCUAUCUACUACCUAUCACAUGGAGCAGAUAUUCUUCCUAACUCCUAACGUUUGCCUGAAAAUGCCAAAGUUAAAUAGUACUCCUUUUUGUAAAGUAAUCAAAUGAAAUAUUGUAGUUUGGACAGGCAAAAACAUGUGAAACCGUAAUUUUUAUCCUGCAUUUCCUUUCUUAGUAAAAAUACUGUUACAAGACAAAAUGGGGAUUUCUGAUACACAGCCUACUGUAUAAACUUUGUUUACUAACAUAGAUUGAAAAUCAGCAUAUUUUUUAUUAAAAGGGAAAGUUAACAUUUAAUUUCUGGAUUACAUGAACUUUAAAGAUACGUUAGUUACAUAGUAAAUGCCAUUUUCCCACAUACUGACAGCAUUUAUGUGCUGCUGAUUGAAGUCUGGUUAUUUAAAUCUGUGCAUUUUAAUUCCAAAAGAGUUUGCCUACUUUUUU